ensembl:lncRNA
AUAUAUAGCUACAGGCCUACAGAAAAUAAGCCACUGCUUAGCUUGGUCAUUUACUGGACUGGGGAGGCUCAGGCUAUUCAAGAUCGAUAGACAGAAGUAAAAAGCAAGAGCGUGGCAUCAUUUCUGCACCUCAUGUUGAGACUGAUGAAGUGCAAUGGCUGUUGCUGUGCUGUCCAUGAUAGCAACUUGUGCUACAGAGAUAUCCCUUGCUGCAUAGACCUUAGGAUCAAAACUCCGGAGAAUGGGCAUACAGUCUUCAAGCUGAGUCGUGGGGAAGAGGAGCUGCAGGAAGUACGCCUCUCCAUGCCCUCCCAGACGGAUGAAAACUUUCAUGAAACAUCCACUGCAAAUGAGGGUUGGCCUUCUACAGAAAGAGUUCCCUCCUGUUCCAAAAGUAGGAGAGAGAAAGGGAAAAGGAGCUGUGAACAGGAGUUGAAGAUGGGUGAUCACAUGAGAAUGAACGUCCUUGAAAGGUCACAGCAAAUACUUAAACUGAAUAUUUAUUUAGGUUUUUAAAUUAUUAUUUUCCCAAGGUGUUAGGAUGAGGAGACUUGAUUAGCUUUGUUGCUUUCUAAUAGCAGUAAGAAAUGCUUUACAGCAGAGCAAGCACAUGGAAAUACCCUUCUUGCUAUGGAAACUGCAUGGUGAUUUACAUCAGUUUAAGGAUCCUUGCCUCUGCAAGCUCUUUGAUUACCAAACAGAAAUAAGAAGGUUUUCUGGUUGUCUCGAAUAGGAAUGUUUUUUAUACACAACAUGUUGUUUCAGAUGCUUCUCUUCCCCAGGAUUUCUAGAUAGCCUGCUGUGUAUUCAGUGGCAACACAGAGUUAGCUGGGACUGAGAUGAUGCAGCUGGCUUCAGUUUUGAAAUAUGCAUACAUUUUGUGCAUUUGACUUAAUUUUUGUUGUGAACAAUCAAAAUUAGGGAGAGUUAAGGGGAUCCCAUUUUGUCUUCUUCCAGAGAGUGUGUGGGACUAAGAGGAAUACGUGUCUGUAUGACAAGAGAUAAGCUAUUCCUUUCAUUGUUCCAUCUAAUUCUGCCCCAACUUCACUGAGACCUACUAUGUGCCUCUCCAAGGACUGCUUUUGCUAAGCAUAAGCAGGAGGCAAGAAAACAGAACAGUUCAGAUAAUUGACUUUAUUGUGCAAGCAUUCAGACAUGGGGGUGGAGAAUUUACACAGUCUGUGUGGGGCAGCAGAAGAUUGGGGUUGCAGGACUGUGAAGAAGGACUGACCAGAAGUACCAGCUCCAUCACAGACCCUAUCAGGUGCACUUGUGUUAGCAGGUACUCUCGGUAACUAUCUUGUCCAUGGGAAAUGAUUGGUGGAAGGGAUUGAUUCAUUGUUAAUUUGCCUUUCCUCUGUUUAAUAGCCCAUAUAACAUGUGGUUUAAAGGCAUGCACAAGCUAAUUAGGAAAGAUAUAUUCUGGAGGGGAGUCACAGCAGCGUGAUGUGAAAUUUCUGCAAUCAAUGAAAAAAACGUAUGGUGCUUGUUUACACACUUCAAACAUCCAACUUCAGCUACAUUGCCACAAAUGGCUGAACUUCUGAUAUUCCUCUCUUCCUUCACAGUAAAUAUUUCUCUAAGAAAUUGUAAUUCUGCCUGUAAUGCCUGUCGUUAGGCUGCUCUUGAGGUAUGGCUCGUGUGCUCAAAAGCUUGAACACAAUUUCUAACAGCAGGUAUUUGAAUAAAACAUGUUACACAUCUCCUUCAAAAUUUGUUUCUUGACCUUAAUAUUUUCUCCCAGUGAUGUUGCUACUAUGACUUCUAGAGCUACUUCAGGUUUCCAUAGGUUUUCUCAUCCUUAGGUGACAAAUCAUUUAUUUUCCACUGCAUCAAAUCUGUUGUUGCUUUUGGUGAAGGUUCCCUUUAUGAUAUGUAAAUGAUUAAGUUUGUUUUAAGGAGAUCUCUGGGUCUUUAUUCUAUGGCAUUAAUUAUCAGCAAUUUACCACCUUACUGUAUUUUUCUGAACAUCUCAGAUGUGUACAAAACACAAAUAACUAAUAUUACUUUAGCUGCACAAUAAAUACGUAUCAAAGUAAUAAAU